GUAAGUUCUUGUUCAACUUGUCCUUAUUAUCACUACAACAACCUUCUAGUUGCAUAACAGAUUACAUACUUUAUAAGAUAUUGGUUUGGUCGAAUAAUAAGCCGAAAUGAAGUAAUAUAAAAGAGCAUAUGCCGAAGUAAUUAAAGUUUGGAUACCUAUAAGACGUAUUUUAAGCUAGGAAGCACGGACUCGGAUACAAGGACAUAAGACACGGGGGUUCGCCAACUAUCAAAGACACCCGGAUACGGGACUCAGCACAAAAAAUUAAUAAUAGUAAUAAAAUAGGAUUCAUAUAUGUCAAAUUUCAUUCAUAAUAUAAUAUAAUGUCUUUACAAUAAGUGGUAAUCUAAUAUAAGAUUCAUUUGAUGCAUUUUCAUUCCUAGAAGAAUCUAUCUCAGAUAAUAUUCAAGACUUUGUCGUUCCAAGUUUGUUUAAUUGGUAUCAAACAUUUCUAAAUAUGAACCCUCUCUUUUUGUAUAAGUGUAGUCCUAAAGCAUUAUUUGCGGAUAAAAGAAAAGAAAAAGAUGUGGAGAUGAGAGAAAAGAGAGGCUGUAAAAGAGAUAUAGAGAACAGAGAUGAGAGAGGUGUAAUUUUAGGUUAAAAGAAGGUUAUUAGGCUUUAGCAAGUUAUUGGGCCAUUUUUAAGGUGGGCCGUGUCCAUGGCUACGUCACUCCCGUGUCAAAGGGGCGUCCCCCGUAUGCGUGUUGACACGCCACAUGGGUAGUCGGACCGACCUCAGCCGAUUCGCUGAGUAGGUUACGCAUACAACACCAAUUUUGAUUAUUCUUGGAUCUUAAGUAUGCUACACAUACACAUGACAUUAAUGCUUUGGUACUUAUGUCAAAUAUAAUGAAUGUAUAUCAUUUGUUGUGAUGUCAUGUUAAGGAUAAAAAUACGAGAUUCAACUUCUAAUGCAAAGCACACACACAAAAAUAUAUGAUGCUGAAAAUCCACGUCCCAACUUGUAUUAUUAAUUAAAACUAUUGUCAAUAAUACAAUCCACCAAACUUGGAUACUCAAGGCUCACAGCACUCAAGUAUCCGCCCUCGAGCGAUACCUAAAUCUACACCUUGAGCACGCCUAUCAAACACAAUAUGACUAUGUAUAUAUAGCCAUCUCAAACUUAUACAAAUCAUAAUCUAAUUCAGAAAUACCUAACUCGAGUUAGAAUCCAAUUCUGAAAUCUAACUCAAAUUUUCUAUGGAUCAAAGCAUUUUGUUGAUUGAGAAGAUAAAACAUCAUGGUAGAAGCCCUCUAAAUAAAUACUCUUCAAAGUGUUAUUAAAAUUUAAUAACCCUUCUAUCGUGAUAAUUAAUAUAUUUUGAACUAGAACGGAGGGAAAAUAAAGGGAAUUUCGAAGUUUGUCUGUAGAAAAAUUUCUUAGGUUGCACGAUAUAUUCACAUCAAAUCGUGUUUAUAGUAGAUACCCUGUAAAGUGAUCACCUCCAGGUCAUAACUUCCUUAUGUUAAAUUAGGAUAAACCCCUUAUGCUAUCUGUCUUCGAAAAAAUCGCAGUGCUACUGGUGGUCCCAUUUUAUUGAUGUUUAAUAACUUUUAAGUUAUCAAUUAUCUUCUGACCUAGUUGUAGUUGUGAAUUUUGUAGGUUGCAAAUUCCCUUUGUAUUUAUAAGAGGUGUUUAUAAACUUUGAAGAUGUACAAUUCAUGAUAAUUUUAUUGGAUGGAAGUGUUACAUGAGUAAAUCUUUUGGAAAUCCCACAAACUAUGGAUAUUGUAUGUAUUCAUUGGCUAAAACACAUAUUAAAUUAUUUCAGAGCAAAAUAAAUGUGAAUCCGUCUGUAAUGAUACUUUCGCUCAGUUUCCCGGACUCUUCGAUUUGGCUUGACUGGACAAGACAUGGGUGUGGGUACCGGAGACGACUUAAGUGCAAAAUGAUGAUAUAAAAUGCCUUAUAACAACUUGUUCGUAAAGAGCAAGGUCCAAUAUAUGACUCUUUUUUUUAUGUUAUCCUUGACUUUAUGACACAAAUAUGACGCAUGUAAUCACAUGCAUAACUUUAAUUGGUAGAAGACAUUAGUCAUACAUACCUUCUAAGAUGUAAAAUGGAUUAAAUGAACUAGUUAACUUUUGGGCACACAUGUUAAAGUGCUUUGACCAAGAAAAUUAAAUAAAUAAUUUACGGAGCUACAUGGUCAAUGCUCUUUAGAUUGUGUGCUGAAAUUCAACUGCCUCAUAUAAUUAGAUCUAAUUUGGGAUGGAGCUGUGGAGGGAGUAUUUUUGUAGGCCCUAAUAAUAUCAUUUUAGAGGGGCUUUAUUGUAUCCAUAAAUUUAAGGUCUUGUGACAUAUGAGUGUACAUCUUGAUGUUUGGAUUGAAGUGGAAUAAUAACAUGACAUGUUCUAUAAAGUUUUACUGAGCAUGUUUAUAUUUGCGUGGUGGGAUUCAAGGAAGUUAAGAUUUAAAUAGGAGUUCGUCAAGCUAAAUUAUUCGUAUAAAUAUUCUGUUUAAGAUUUUCAACGUGAGACUACUUCGAGUUACAACUUACAAUCUUUCCCUUUGUAAAGUUUAUGAUUUUUACUUUGAACUAAAGCAAUUGGUAAUGGGACUUCCAAAACUUUAGUGGACAAUGGGAGAGAAUAUGCCUAUAUAUAUAGAUGCACAGUAACGAGAGACCCAGAAACUUUUCUUUUAAAUUUGAGAUAAACGUGAACCUCCUUAUAUGGGAUCACGACAUAGUAUUGUGUAAGCAUUUAUUUUUGUGGUUUACAAAGCACAACAUUGUGCUAAAGUAUAAAAUAUUCCAAAAAAAAUUAUCUAGCUGACUCGUCUCUUAUGGUUGUGUCAUGCAAAAAAUUUGUCACUACUUUUGUCAUGUAACCUUUACCACGCAGGUUGAUUAAAAACCUUGAAGAGUGUUCUAUCCACCUAUCCAAGAUGUUGGAUCUGCUGAUUUUUGGCAACUUUUACAAAAUUAAUGCAGUAUUGUUAAAAUUGUGGUGCCAAGCCUCGAACAGUUCUUGGCAGUGUUUUUGACUGGGAUGUUGAAAUUGUGGCGCCAAGUUUCAAACAAGUCCCACCAACGGUUCAGAAAUACAAGUGUCAAGGUUAGAUAUGCUUAUAAUUUUCUUAGCUUUGAUUUAUUCACUUACGAUGGGGUUUGUCUGAAAUGGAAUUAGACAUUUUAGUUGUGAUAAAUUGGGUCAGCUUAGUCCCUCCUGCGUUGUAAUAAGCUAAAGUGUAAACAAGGCCUAAGUCAUAAAUCUCGUUGUUGUGGUAUCUAGGUGCUUAACAAAAUGACUUUAGGUUGUGUAUUAUUGAAGGCUAUAGACAAGAUAAAGACGUCUCGUGGUACUACUUUGAAGUGUUCUUGCGAAUUUCUAUCUGAAACACGUUUUUUAGACUACCUUAUCUUUUGUUAAGGAUAAAAAUACGAGAUUCAACUUCUAAUGCAAAGCACACACACAAAAAUAUAUGAUGCUGAAAAUCCACGUCCCAACUUGUAUUAUUAAUUAAAACUAUUGUCAAUAAUACAAUCCACCAAACUUGGAUACUCAAGGCUCACAGCACUCAAGUAUCCGCCCUCGAGCGAUACCUAAAUCUACACCUUGAGCACGCCUAUCAAACACAAUAUGACUAUGUAUAUAUAGCCAUCUCAAACUUAUACAAAUCAUAAUCUAAUUCAGAAAUACC
rnacentral:lncRNA from 1 species